GGGGAAUCUUCCGCAAUGGGCGAAAGCCUGACGGAGCAACGCCGCGUGAGUGAAGACGGCCUUCGGGUUGUAAAGCUCUGUUAUACGGGACGAAUAAUCUUGUGGUUAAUACCCAUAAGAAGUGACGGUACCGUAAGAGAAAGCCACGGCUAACUACGUGCCAGCAGCCGCGGUAAUACGUAGGUGGCAAGCGUUGUCCGGAAUUAUUGGGCGUAAAGCGCGCGCAGGCGGAUUGGUCAGUCUGUCUUAAAAGUGCGGGGCUUAACCCCGUGAUGGGAUGGAAACUGGGAAGCUCAGAGUAUCGGAGAGGAAAGCGGAAUUCCUAGUGUAGCGGUGAAAUGCGUAGAUAUUAGGAGGAACACCAGUGGCGAAAGCGGCUUUCUGGACGAAAACUGACGCUGAGGCGCGAAAGCCAGGGGAGCGAACGGGAUUAGAUACCCCGGUAGUCCUGGCCGUAAACGAUGGGUACUAGGUGUAGGAGGUAUCGACCCCUUCUGUGCCGGAGUUAACGCAAUAAGUACCCCGCCUGGGGAGUACGGCCGCAAGGUUG
rnacentral:rRNA from 1 species